rnacentral:rRNA from 1 species
UACGUAGGGGGCAAGCGUUGUCCGGAUUUAUUGGGCGUAAAGAGCGUGUAGGCGGCUUUGCAGGUCCGCUGUGAAAACUCGAGGCUCAACCUCGAGACGCCGGUUGAAACCAUCUGGCUAGAGUCCGGAAGAGGAGAGUGGAAUUCCUGGUGUAGCGGUGAAAUGCGCAGAUAUCAGGAAGAACACCCGUGGCUAAGGCGGCUCUCUAGUACGGUACUGACGCUGAGACGCGAAAGCGUGGGGAGCGAACAGG